GAUGAACGCUGGCUACAGGCUUAACACAUGCAAGUCGAGGGGAAACGACGGGGAAGCUUGCUUCCCCGGGCGUCGACCGGCGCACGGGUGAGUAACGCGUAUCCAACCUGCCUCUGACUGAGGGAUAACCCGUCGAAAGUCGGCCUAAUACCUCAUGGCAUCGUCUGCGGGCAUCCAACGACGAUUAAAGAUUUCAUCGGUCGGGGAUGGGGAUGCGUCUGAUUAGCUUGUUGGCGGGGUAACGGCCCACCAAGGCUACGAUCAGUAGGGGUUCUGAGAGGAAGGUCCCCCACAUUGGAACUGAGACACGGUCCAAACUCCUACGGGAGGCAGCAGUGAGGAAUAUUGGUCAAUGGGCGGGAGCCUGAACCAGCCAAGUAGCGUGCAGGAUGACGGCCCUAUGGGUUGUAAACUGCUUUUAUGCGGGGAUAAAGUGAGGGACGUGUCCUUCAUUGCAGGUACCGCAUGAAUAAGGACCGGCUAAUUCCGUG
rnacentral:rRNA from 1 species